GACGAACGCUGGCGGCGUGCCUAAUACAUGCAAGUCGAACGCAGUGGGGACGGGUGAGUAACACGUGGGUAACCUCCCAUCAGAGGGGAUAACAGGUGGAAACAGGUGCUAAAACCGAUACGGGUGGAGGGACCCGGGGUGCAUUAGCCUGUUGGAGGGGUAACGGCCCACCAAGGCCACGAUGCAUAGCCGGCCUGAGAGGGUGAUCGGCCACACUGGGACUGAGACACGGCCCAGACUCCUACGGUAGGCAGCAGUGGGGAAUAUUCGGCAAUGGACGAAAGUCUGACCGAGCCACGCCGCGUGUGUGAAGAAGGUUUUCGGAUCGUAAAACUCUGUUGGUAGAGAAGCGGUAUCUACCCAGGAAGCCACGGCUAACUACGUGCCAGCAGCCGCGGUAAUUC
rnacentral:rRNA from 1 species